rnacentral:rRNA from 1 species
GACGAACGCUGGCGGCGUGCCUAAUACAUGCAAGUAGGACGCAGUUGCGAACGGGUGAGUAACGCGUAGGUAACUACCUAUUAGAGGGGGAUAAAUAUGGGAAACGAUAGCUAAUACCGCCUACUAGUAGAUGGACCUGCUUUGUAUUAGCUAGUAGGUAGGGUAAUGGCCUACCUAGGCAACGAUACAUAGCCGACCUGAGCAGGAUGUCGGCCAAAAUUGGAAUGUGGCACGUCCCAGACUCCUACGGGAGGCAGCCGUAGGGAAUCUUUGGAAAUGGGGGGAACCCUGACCGAGCAACGCCGCGUGGGUGAAGAAGGUUUUCGGGUUGUAAAGCUCUGUUGUUAAGGAAGCGGUACUUACCCAGAAAGGGACGGCUAACUACGUGCCAGCAGCCGCGGUAAUUC